CUCGGCAAGACAGGGCUCUUUGGGCAUUUCUGUAGGUACGUUACAUUUGAGCUUCGGCCUCUGACCUUCUAGCUUUGGGGAAAAUAUUGAUUUAGAUUUGUGUAUGGUGAGUACUUGACUUUUGGGGGAUUGCUUCACUUGCAGUUCACCUUUGAAUUUUUCCAGUUGCUUGUUUCUGUCUUUCUUUAUAGGAUUUAACAUGAGCAGACCUCUCUUUAUUCCAGGAAUUUGUUUUGCGCCAGUCUGCUUUUGAGUUACCAACUGACUUGAGGUGUGUUUUUCUCUAGUCUGACCAGCCUUUGUUCCAUUCUGUGCCUGUUCAUCUCCGG
rnacentral:misc_RNA from 1 species